UAGGAGAUAAUAUCUCCCCUGUAGCUUGUACUCAGUAGACAACAACGAAGCUAUUGCAACUUACUCUGGUGUUACUCUUGAAGAAGCACAUAGAGGUGGAGUGGAACUCUAUUAAGAGCGUUCUCAAGCCCAAAUCUGGGAAAACCUUGGACUCUUUGCCAGCGAUAAUGGGUGUUUGUAGACCAGACAGUCUGACUCCAGACUUUAGAACAUCCCUUCUCAGGAGUCACUGUUUAGUGGAGGAUUCAGACCUGUAAACAGAUAAAUAUAUCAAAGAGGCUUGGGUCUUCAGAUAACUGUUUAAUAAAGGAUGCUGGGCUGCUGCAGAAGAACUUGAGAAAACAGUCAAAGAUGAGCAAAGGCAUGUAUGGCUAAGACAUGAAAAGAAAGACAAAGAGCUUCAACUGCUUUGCUCAAGUUCUUAGGUCCUACAAUGCCUGGAUAUAUGUGCAUUUUAGAAAUUGUAAGUCUUUUAAAACAGUAAGUCACUCUCUUUUAUUUUUUCUUUCAGUUAAGCUAUUUGUAGUUGUGUUUUUGUUACAUUCAGCUGAAAGUAUC